GAUGAACGCUGGCGGCGUUGCUUUAACACAUGCAAGUCGAACGAAGCACUUAUGAUUGAGAUUUCGGUUGAUUGAUUAAGUGACUUAGUGGCGACGGGUGAGUAACGCGUGGGUAACCUGCCUUGUACAGGGGGAUAACAGUUAGAAAUGACUGCUAAUACCGCAUAACCCGCUAAGGUCGCAUGACCUAGACGGAAAAGAUUUAUCGGGUACAAGAUGGACCCGCGUCUGAUUAGCUAGUUGGUGAGGUAACGGCCCCACCAAGGCGACGAUCAGUAGCCGGCCUGAGAGGGUGACCGGCACAUUGGGACUGAGACACGGCCCAAACUCCUACGGGAGGCAGCAGUGGGGAAUAUUGCACAAUGGGGGAAACCCUGAUGCAGCAACGCCGCGUGAGUGAAGAAGUAUUUCGGUAUGUAAAGCUCUAUCAGCAGGGAAGAAAAUGACGGUACCUGACUAAGAAGCCCCGGCUAACUACGUG
rnacentral:rRNA from 1 species